GACGAACGCUGGCGGCGUGCUUAACACAUGCAAGUCGAACGGAAAGGCCCUGCUUUUGUGGGGUGCUCGAGUGGCGAACGGGUGAGUAACACGUGAGUAACCUGCCCUUGACUUUGGGAUAACUUCAGGAAACUGGGGCUAAUACCGGAUAGGAGCUCCUGCUGCAUGGUGGGGGUUGGAAAGUUUCGGCGGUUGGGGAUGGACUCGCGGCUUAUCAGCUUGUUGGUGGGGUAGUGGCUUACCAAGGCUUUGACGGGUAGCCGGCCUGAGAGGGUGACCGGCCACAUUGGGACUGAGAGACGGCGCAGACUGCAACGGGAGGCAGCAGUGGGGAAUAUUGCACAAUGGGCGGAAGCCUGAUGCAGCAACGCCGCGUGCGGGAUGACGGCCUUCGGGUUGUAAACCGCUUUCGCCUGUGACGAAGCGUGAGUGACGGUAAUGGGUAAAGAAGCACCGGCUAACUACGUG
rnacentral:rRNA from 1 species